rnacentral:misc_RNA from 1 species
GGAAAGUCUCAAUCUGCGGGCUGAGGCUGAGCAAGAAAACGCUCCUUUUUUAGGUUCAAAAUUUGUUGUUAAACAGACAAAAUGGGGCCUCCACCCCCAUUAAUCAAAUGAUUACUAGUGCUGCUAUGAAUGAAUCCAUCACCUUCCUGGGUUAAGUUCGAGAUUUAAUGGGUCUAAUUACCCUGCAUUGCUGGUAAAUCGGGAUUAUACGCUUGGCGGUAAAACUUGAAACUGUUGGGGGUUGGGCUGAGACCGGCAUCUUGUUGCAAUGCUAGACAAGUUCAUAAAAGGCCCAACUUGUGUGAUUCCCGAUUCGAAAGUUUUCAGAUUCCAAUAAGAC